rnacentral:ncRNA from 1 species
AUUUGUAAAAAAUCUCGUAUAAAAUCGGUAAUUGGUCCGAAAGUUUCUACCUACUGACCGUAAAACAGUAGACUACGAGGAGUUGAAAUUAU